CUGAAGUCACCGAGUCAAGAGCACCACCAGCCUCCGGCCCCCCAGAACUGGCUGGCUGGCAGCUCUUGCUGUUCACCAACAGCCUUUUACAGUCUGGUGGCGGCCGUUGGUAGUUGUGUACUUUUUGCUCGCAACAAGAACCGUCUCAAAAUCGUCGCUCGACCAACACUUCCAUGAUACGUCCUCAAAAUCACCGAGUUAAACUUGGACAAGGACUACUAGGAAGUCUAGAUGAAUCCGAAGUCAAGGAGGACCUGAGUGAGACCUUCGAGGACCCAUGAACAUCGAGGACAAAUGGAUUACAACAAAGACCAAAAAGAAAAGGAAGAGGAAGAGGACGACAAGGAUGGGCAGCCACGAGGAUGGAUCGAGGAUAUGAGAACAAGAUAGCCAGCCAGUUGAGAGGCAAAUCAAAUGGCACAUUUAGAACGAAGCACUAGCAUGCUAUGUCUAAGCAAUUUGCUCAAGAUGACGCCUGCAGACCAAAAGACUCUUUAUGGCGGUUUAGAACUAUCGGCCCCAUGGGAGCCUAGAUGAUGAUUAUACAGCAGUCAAGGUCACUACCAGCCUCCCGCUCUCCAACGCUGGCUGGCCGACACGACACUGCUCAGCAAUUGCUCCCAGAUACUAGUAUUGUGUUUCUCUAUUUGUACUCUUCGUCAAUAAAGAGUCAAACCGUA